GACGAACGCUGGCGGCGUGCCUAAUACGUGCAAGUAGAACGCUGAAGGAGGAGCUUGCUCUUCUGGAUGAGUUGCGAACGGGUGAGUAACGCGUAGGUAACCUGCCUGGUAGCGGGGGAUAACUAUUGGAAACGAUAGCUAAUACCGCAUAAUAGUAGAUGUUGCAUGACAUUUGCUUAAAAGGUGCAAUUGCAUCACUACCAGAUGGACCUGCGUUGUAUUAGCUAGUUGGUGAGGUAACGGCUCACCAAGGCAACGAUACAUAGCCGACCUGAGAGGGUGAUCGGCCACACUGGGACUGAGACGCGGCCCAGACUCCUACGGGGAGGCAGCAGUAGGGAAUCUUCGGCAAUGGACGGAAGUCUGACCGAGCAACGCCGCGUGAGUGAAGAAGGUUUUCGGAUCGUAAAGCUCUGUUUGUAAGAGAAGAACGAGUGUGAGAGUGGAAAGUUCACACUGUGACGGUAUCUUACCAGAAAGGGACGGCUAACUACGUGCCAGCAGCCGCGGUAAUACGUAGGUCCCGAGCGUUGUCCGGAUUUAUUGGGGCGUAAAGCGAGCGCGGGGGGUAGAUAAGUCUGGAGGUUAAAGGCUGUGCCCUAAACAAAAGAACGCUUUGGAAACUGUUUAACUGGAGGGCCAGGACGGGAGGGGUGGAUUCCUUUUUAGCGGUGUUAUCUACAUAUAGAGAAGACCCCCGUUCCUAUGCUUUUCUCUUUUGCACCGACGCGGAGCGUGGGAGCGGGGAAUAAACAAAUAUAGU
rnacentral:rRNA from 1 species